AAUCUAACCAGAUGCUCCGCAGGGCGUAGCUUUAUACGACCGCAGAGGUUGAACCCUGAACGGUUGGGGCAAGUAUGGACACAACAUUCAAGCUGGAUUCAGCUCUAAAUUUGGAUUGUGAUUAAAUAGUUGACACAGCAUAGGUUUCUGACACAGAAUGAAUGUGUUCUAAUGAACUUAAAAUUUUUGUUUUCUCUUAGAGCAAUUCACUAUGCUGUUGAAUAUUAAUUCUCUCAAAAAAAUGUUUGAAGAAAUUUUCUUUUUUAUUUAUGAAAUUUCAAAUGAGAAAAAUUG
rnacentral:lncRNA from 1 species